GAUAGAGUGCACUUGAUUUUUAAUUAAACAGCAAAACGCAUGGGGUUUUAACUGCCGCCACCCAUAUGUAUUAAUAUUUGGCGAUUAAAUUCAGUUAAUUGGAAAUUUCGCCCCUUCACUCCAGUAGGAGGAUAUAAUUGCGUUAUUCUUCUUCAUUGUUAGUUCCGGCUGAUAUUUAAUACGAUUUUUCAUCGACGAUUGUUGCACGUUCUUCUAUAAUUAGCCCUCUUAUUUAAAGAGGGUUUGUCUUAAAUUUACCAUUUACCUGCGAGUGCCAACACCUGUGGAAAUAUUUUUUCACACCUGAUAAGAAGCCGCCAUAUAAUAUAAUAUAAUAUAA